UACGGGGGGAGCAAGCGUUGUUCGGAUUUACUGGGCGUAAAGGGCGCGUAGGCGGCCACCGCAAGUCGACUGCGAAAUCUCCGGGCUUAACCCGGAAAGGUCAGCCGAUACUGCGGGGCUAGAGUGCAGAAGGGGCAACUGGAAUUCUCGGUGUAGCGGUGAAAUGCGUAGAUAUCGAGAGGAACACCUGCGGCGAAGGCGGGUUGCUGGGCUGACACUGACGCUGAUGCGCGAAAGCUAGGGGAGCGAACGGG
rnacentral:rRNA from 1 species